rnacentral:rRNA from 1 species
UACUAGCGGUCCAAGUUGCAACCAUAAUUAUUGGGUCUAAAACAUCCGUAGCUUGCUUAAUAAGUUUCUUGUGAAAUUUUGCAUCUCAAGUGCAAAGCGUGCAAGAAAUACUAUUGAGCUAGAGACCGGUAGAUGUAAGGAGUACGGCUGAGGUAAUGGUAAAAUAUGUUAAUCUCGGUUGGACUAACAAUUGGCGAAGGCACCUUACAAGGACGGAUCUGACAGUGAGGGAUGAAAGCCAGGGGCGCAAAACGGAUUAGAUACCCCCGUA